GUUAGCAAAAUUUUGUUUUCCUUAUCAUAAUUUUCCUUAAUUAUUUUGUAUUUUGUAGAUGAAGAAUACCAGAAUUCCCUGGAAUGUCAUCGCCAAACCAGUGAAGUUCUGAUUUUUGUCACCUUCAUCUGUGAAGGAACAAAACAGUGUACUCUUAGGGUAAAAGAAGACAGAACUGGGCUUCGUAUGGAUAAAUUUCUUCUUUCCUUUCUGUUGUGACACAAAGGAAAGGAUAAGGAGAAAUUCACUCUCAAUCUCAAGAUUCAAGGGGAGUUCUUGUAUGGUAAGUGUUUUUUGUUCUGUUUUGUUUUGUUUCUGAAAACACUGACACUUGUCUUAAGAGUAUCACAACAUUCCAC
rnacentral:lncRNA from 1 species